UUCUUUUGUCUAUAUAUUUAAAGGCCUCUUGCCUAAUGGAUUGAAUUUGAAUAUACAGGUUAAGAAGGUUCAUCAUCAGUUCUGACCUGAUUGAAACUUGCUGGAAUGGUACCAAAUGGUGGAUGGUAUUAAAAGAAGCUGGGGGCAAGGGAUUUGCCCUUACUUGUAAAGGUUCCUCAUGCCAACACCUGGCCCCAGAGGUAUAAACACAUCACAACAAUGGUACAGGUGAGGCGAGGCCAGGGCUAUUC
rnacentral:lncRNA from 1 species